UGAAUUCAAAAGCUUUCUUUACUCUCACAGAUAGAGAUCUCAAACAUUGGUUUCGAGGUUCUAUCAGGUGCAAAAUGCUAAAGGUUCAAGCCCAGCACCAACGCGCUGAUUGGAUAAUAUCAAUGGUAGUAUGGUUCAAGCAAAAAAAAGAUUAUUUACAGGUUAUUUUUAUAAUAGUCAAACCAACUAUGACUUAAUAUAGGAACAUAUAAACCCUUCCUACUUAAAGAAAACUUAAAUGCAUAAAGCGAACAGCGUGCUUCCUAUUUUAAACAUAUGCCUUUGCUACCACAGCUCAAUGGCAACACUGUCGCCACUUUGAUCCUCAUGGGAAAUAUGAUCUGCAUACUUGCUCGUACACGGUAAGCGAUAUGGAUACGGUUGACAUGUAUGUACAUGAAGUCAAGCCAAAACAAAUAAUAAAAACAACAUAAACAAAG